rnacentral:rRNA from 1 species
CCCGCUGAACUUAAGCAUAUCAAUAAGCGGAGGAAAAGAAACUAACAAGGAUUCCCCUAGUAACUGCGAGUGAAGCGGGAAGAGCUCAAAUUUAAAAUCUGGCGUGCCUCUGGUCGUCCGAGUUGUAGUCUGGAGAAGCGUUUUCCGUGUUGGACCGUGUAUAAGUCUCUUGGAACAGGGCGUCAUAGAGGGUGAGAAUCCCGUCUUUGACACGGACUACCAAUGCUUUGUGAUGCGCUCUCAAAGAGUCGAGUUGUUUGGGAAUGCAGCUCAAAAUGGGUGGUAAAUUCCAUCUAAAGCUAAAUAUAGGCGAGAGACCGAUAGCGAACAAGUACCGUGAGGGAAAGAUGAAAAGCACUUUGGAAAGAGAGUUAAACAGUACGUGAAAUUGCUGAAAGGGAAACGCUUGAAGUCAGUCACGUCUGCCAGGACUCAGCUUCGCUUCUGCUUGGUGUACUUUCUGGUUUGAUGGGCCAACAUCAAUUUUGACCGUUGGAGAAAGGCUUUGGGAAUGUGGCACCUUUGGGUGUGUUAUAGCCCUUUGUCGUAUGCAGCGGUUGGGAUUGAGGACUGCAGCACGCCUUCAUGGCCGGGGUUCGCCCACGUACGUGCUUAGGAUGUUGGCAUAAUGGCUUUAAGCGACCCGUCUUGAAACACGG